CGGGGUGGCACUGAUCCAGCCCGGGCCUUUUCCCUCUGUGGGAAACCCCCAUGGGCCCUUCACUUGGCUGGUGGGCGGGGGAAAACAGGACUUUUACUUUGAAAAAUUAGAGUGCUCCAGGCAGGCUAUGCUCGAAUACAUAGCAUGGAAUAAUAGAAUAGGACGUGUGGUUCUAUUUUGUUGGUUUCUAGGACCGCCGUAAUGAUUUAUAGGGACAGUCGGGGGCAUCAGUAUUCAAUUGUCAGAGGUGAAAUUCUUGGAUCUAUUGAAGACUAACUACUGCGAAAGCAUUUGCCAAGGAUGUUUUCAUUGAUAAGGAACGAAAGUUAGGGGAUCGAAGACGAUCAGAUACCGUCGUAGUCUUAACUAUAAACUAUGCCGACUAGGGAUCGGACGAUGUUAUUCUUUGACGCGUUCGGCACCUUUCGAGAAAUCAAAGUGCUUGGGCUCCAGGGGGAGUAUGGUCGCAAGGCUGAAACUUAAAGAAAUUGACGGAAGGGCACCACCAGGGGUGGAACCUGCGGCUUAAUUUGACUCAACACGGGGAAACUCACCAGGUCCAGACACAGUGAGGAUUGACAGAUUGAGAGCUCUUUCUUGAUUCUGUGGGUGGUGGUGCAUGGCCGUUCUUAGUUGGUGGAGUGAUUUGUCUGCUUAAUUGCGAUAACGAACGAGACCUUAACCUGCUAAAUAGCCCGUACUGCUUUGGCAGUUCGCCGGCUUCUUAGAGGGACUAUCGG
rnacentral:rRNA from 1 species